rnacentral:rRNA from 1 species
GAUGAACGCUAGCGGCAGGCUUAAUACAUGCAAGUCGAGGGGUAGCAAGAUUGUAGCAAUACAAUUGUUGACGACCGGCAAACGGGUGCGGAACACGUACACAACCUUCCUACAAGUGGGGAAUAGCCCAGAGAAAUUUGGAUUAAUACCCCGUAACAUAGCGAUGUGGCAUCACAUUGCUAUUAUAGCUUCGGCGCUUGUUGAUGGGUGUGCGGCUGAUUAGAUAGUUGGCGGGGUAACGGCCCACCAAGUCUACGAUCAGUAGCUGAUGUGAGAGCAGGAUCAGCCACACGGGCACUGAGACACGGGCCAGACUCCUACGGGAGGCAGCAGUAAGGAAUAUUGGACAAUGGACGCAAGUCUGAUCCAGCCAUGCCGCGUGAAGGAUUAAGGUCCUCUGGAUUGUAAACUUCUUUUAUAAGGGACGAAAAAAGGUCUUUCUAGAUCGUCUGACGGUACCUUAUGAAUAAGCACCGGCUAACUCCGUGCCAGCCGCCGCCGUAAUAC